UGUUUCAAUCUGCACUUAUUCCCCUCAACAGCUUCUUCUAAACCUGUCACUAACAAUACCUAAAUACUGGGCCAGAAGAUUUCAGCUACAGGAAGAAUAAAAUCAGACUCUGUUUCUGAGCAGUGAUUGAUCCUUAUCAGAUUUGGCAUCUUGCUUUUGAAAAGAGAAGAAAGUGGAAAAAAAAAAUCUGUUCAACAGCAGCUGGAAGAGAGGAGUGAGAAAAUGUGAGAAACAACCCUGAAGACACCAAGUGAUCAAGCACUGGAAUGGACUGCCAUGGAAGUACCGGAAUCCCCAUCUCUGGAGGUAUUUAAGAGAGAAAUGGACUUGGCACUACAGGACAUGGUUUAGUGCUAGGACACAGUAGAUUGUGGCAACUGCAGAAUAUAUUAGAUGAGAAGAGAAGCAUGAUAUGAAACCACCUUUAGAUAAUCCUUUAUCUGCACAUCAAGCAAUUUUGGAGAAGGUAAAC
rnacentral:lncRNA from 1 species